CGCCCAACAGCUAGCCAAUCUUAACAAUACCAACACCCCCCUUUUUAUACCCCUAAAGCCCCUUAAUUUAAUCAAACAAACCAUUUUUCCUCCUUAGUACGGGCGACGGAAAAGGAGCACUUUGAGCAAUAGAAAAAGUACCGCAAGGGAACGCUGAAAAAGAAAUGAAACAACCCAGUUAAGCCAAAAAAAGCAAAGAUUUCCCCUUGUACCUUUUGCAUCAUGAACUAGCUAGAAACCCUUAAGCAAAAAGUAUUUUAGUUUAACACCCCGAAACUAGGUGAGCUACUCCAAGACAGCCUAAAAAUAGGGCGACCCCGUCUCUGUGGCAAUAGAGUGGAAAGAGCUUUGAGUAGAGGUGACAGACCUACCGAACCCAGUUAUAGCUGGUUGCCUGAAAAUUGAAUAGAAGUUCAGCCUUUUCACUUCUCCCCCCACACCGACCUCUGGCCCUUCAACAGAGCAAGAGAAGCUUAAAGAGUUAAUCAAAGGGGGUACAGCCCCUUUGAAACAAGACACAACUUUCCAAGGUGGGAAAAGAUCACAACAAAUCCAAAGGUAAGUGUUCUAGUGGGCCUAAAAGCAGCCAUCCAAACAGAAAGCGUUAAAGCUCGGACAUGUUCAAAUAACCUUAAAAUCCUGACAAACAAAUCUUAACCCCCUAACACUAUCAGGCCCCUCCAUGUAACCAUGGAAGCGAUUAUGCUAGUACGAGUAAUAAGAGAACACGCAAUUCUCUCCCCGCCCACGUGUAAAUCGGAACGGACCCUCCACCGAAAAUUAACGGCCCCAAACAAAGAGGGUAUUGGACUUACAAUAAAGAUAACUAGAAAACCACCCAAAAUUCGCCGUUAACCCCACACUGGUGUGCCAGCCCGGAAAGACUAAAAGAAAGAAAAGGAACUCGGCAAACCCAAGCCUCGCCUGUUUACCAAAAACAUCGCCUCUUGCAAAACAAAAAUAAGAGGUCCCGCCUGCCCUGUGACCACAAGUUUAACGGCCGCGGUAUUUUGACCGUGCAAAGGUAGCGCAAUCACUUGUCUUUUAAAUGAAGACCUGUAUGAAUGGCAUGACGAGGGCUUAACUGUCUCUUCUUUCCAGUCAAUGAAACUGAUCUCCCCGUGCAGAAGCGGGGAUAUCCCCAUAAGACGAGAAGACCCUAUGGAGCUUUAGACAUAGGACAGACCAUGUUAAUCACCUCUAAUUAAAGAACAAAACUAAUUGGUACCUGCUCUAAUGUCUUUGGUUGGGGCGACCGCGGGGAAACAAAAAACCCCCAUGUGGACUGAAGAGACCCUUCUUCACAGUCAAGAGCCACAGCUCUAAACAACAGAAUUUCUGACCAACAAGAUCCGGCAAAGCCGAUCAACGGACCGAGUUACCCUAGGGAUAACAGCGCAAUCUCCUUCUAGAGCCCAUAUCGACAAGGAGGUUUACGACCUCGAUGUUGGAUCAGGACAUCCUAAUGGUGCAGCCGCUAUUAAGGGUUCGUUUGUUCAACGAUUAAAGUCCUACGUGAUCUGAGUUCAGACCGGAGCAAUCCAGGUCAGUUUCUAUCUAUGACAUGUUUUUUUCCAGUACGAAAGGACCAAAAAGAAGAGGCCCCUGCUACCAGCACGCCUCCCCCUCAUCUAAUGAAGCCAACUAAACUAGAUAAAAGGGCAUACCCCCUAGCUUAAGAGAAUAGCAU
rnacentral:rRNA from 1 species